GACGAACGCUGGCGGCGUGCUUAACACAUGCAAGUCGAGCGGAAAGGCCCUUUCGGGGGUACUCGAGCGGCGAACGGGUGAGUAACACGUGAGUAAUCUGCCCUGGACUCUGGGAUAGCCACCGGAAAAGGUGAUUAAUACCGGAUACAACCACUAUCCGCAUGGGUUGGUGGUGGAAAGUUUUUUCGGUCCAGGAUGUGCUCGCGGCCUAUCGGCUUGUUGGUGCGGUAAUGGCUCACCAAGGCCUUGACGGGUAGCCGGCCUGAGAGGGUGACCGGUCACACUGGGACUGAGACACGGCCCAGACUCCUACGGGAGGCAGCAGUGGGGAAUAUUGGACAAUGGGCGGAAGCCUGAUCCAGCAACGCCGCGUGAGGGAUGACGGCCUUCGGGUUGUAAACCUCUUUCAGUACCGACGAAGCGCAAGUGACGGUAGGUACAGAAGAAGGACCGGCCAACUACGUGCCAGCCGCCGCCGUAAUAC
rnacentral:rRNA from 1 species